AGUGAACGCUGGCGGUAGGCCUAACACAUGCAAGUCGAACGGCAGCACAGGAGAGCUUGCUCUCUGGGUGGCGAGUGGCGGACGGGUGAGGAAUACAUCGGAAUCUACUUUUUCGUGGGGGAUAACGUAGGGAAACUUACGCUAAUACCGCACACGACCUACGGGUGAAAGCAGGGGACCUUCGGGCCUUGCGCGAUUGAAUGAGCCGAUGUCGGAUUAGCUAGUUGGCGGGGUAAAGGCCCACCAAGGCGACGAUCCGUAGCUGGUCUGAGAGGAUGAUCAGCCACACUGGAACUGAGACACGGUCCAGACUCCUACGGGAGGCAGAAGUGGGGAAUAUUGGACAAUGGGCGCAAGCCUGAUCCAGCCAUACCGCGUGGGUGAAGAAGGCCUUCGGGUUGUAAAGCCCUUUUGUUGGGAAAGAAAUCCAGCUGGCUAAUACCCGGUUGGGAUGACGGUACCCAAAGAAUAAGCACCGGCUAACUUCGUGCCAGUAGCCGCCGUAA
rnacentral:rRNA from 1 species